GUAUUCUCUUUUUUAUGUUUUAUCUUUGCUGACUGCCAGAUGCAAAGGACAGAGCUUGUAAUAAUGAUUGACAGGGAGCUAAGAUGGAGGCACCCAGAUACAGGAUAAAGAGAGAGAGGAGAGAGAGUGAAUUCACCUGCGAUCCCAUGGGGUAUCCAAGUUCUCAAUGUGGCCUGGUCUUCCUUCUGUGGCAUCAUAACCUCUCACGAAAGCAU